rnacentral:SRP_RNA from 14 species
CGCCAGGACCGGAAGGAAGCUGCUGAGCGCUUCCAAGCCAUAGCUGGCCUCGGCGUGGGCGAG